GAGCAAAUAAAUUUUAUUCAGAAGAGGAUACCAAUGUCAAAUCUAUAGGGCAAGUUACAAUAGUGGAACCAUCAGAGCUAGAUGAAAACGAUGAGGUGGGCAGUCCCUCAGUAAUAGAGGAACCAUCAGAGCUAGGUAAGUGCAAUUUACAUUAUGUAAUACCCUCCCAUUUUGUUAGAAGACUCAGAAGCCCUAACGUUUGUUUUUUCUCCCACAGAACCUGAAGAUAUUACCAAAAAGACUGUAGAGCCAUCAAGUCGAUCUGAAUUAUUAAAAGAAAUCAUAGAAGAAGGAUAUCAGAAUCUGAAAAACAAUCAAAACACGAGCACGAUAAUCAUGUGCACGGUCAUCCUUGUGGCUUUUUUUAUAGCUCUUAUUGUCAUCAUAUGUAU